rnacentral:lncRNA from 1 species
AAGAGUCCCAUGUACACUUUUUCAGAACAGAAUUUUCACUUCUGUAAUUCAUGGAUACUGAAGAAUGCUGGCUUCCAGCAAUACACUUUCCAGAAGGUUCCAGUGUGUUCCACCCCAGAAAGUGUUUAUGAUGCAACUGGCUGUGCGGCAUGAAAGAGGAGAGUGACAUUGGUACAACAUUAUACCACUUGGGUGCAAUUCCAUGUUCUACUAAAGCAAUAAUUCACCAGCAAAAUCUUUUAGAUUGGACUUCAGAGGCAUAUGUAGGAAAUGUCUGAAAAUAAAUUUAAAAACAUAUUUCUUUUGACUUGCA